UGUUGUGUAUUCACCUGGCGGGCUAUGGUGCCCAGAGAGUUGGUCAAACACCUGUCUGGCUGUCGAUAUGAAGGUGCUUCUGUCUGGCUGUCAGUAUGAAGGUGUUCCUGUCUGGCUGUCAGUAUGAAGGUGUUUCUGUCUGGCUGUCAGUGUGAAGGUGUUUCUGUCUGGAUGUCGUGUGAAGGUGUUUCUGGCUGGCUGUCGUGUGAAGGUGUUUCUGGCUGUCAGUGUGAAGGUGUUUCUGUCUGGCUGUCAGUGUGAAAGUGUUUCUGUCUGGCUGUUGGUGUGAAGGUUUUUCUGGCUGUCAGUGUGAAGGUGUUUGUUUCUGUCUGGCUCUCGGUGUGAAGGUGUUUCUGGCUGUUGGUGUGAAGGUGUUUCUGUCUGGCUGUCAGUGUGAAAGUGUUUCUGUCUGGCUGUCAGUGUGAAAGUGUUUAUUUCUAGCUGUCAGUGUGAAGGUGUUUCUGUCUGGCUGUCGGUGUGAAGGUGUUUCUGUCUGGCUGUUGGUGUGAAAGUGUUUCUGGCUGUCAGUGCAAAGGUGUUUCCGUCUGGCUGUUGGUGUGAAAGUGUUUCUGGCUGUCAGUGCAAAGGUGUUUCUGUCUCGCUGUUAGUGUGAAAGUGUUUCUCUCUGUUGGCGUGAAGGUGUUUCUGGCUGUCGGUGUGAAGGUGUUUCUGUCUGGCUGUUAAGUGUGAAAUUGUUUCUCUCCAUCGAUGUGAAGGUUUUUCUGGCUGUCGGUGUGAAGGUGUUUCUGUCUGUUGGUGUGAAGGUGUUUCUGGCUGUUGGUGUGAAGGUGUUUCUGUCUGGCUGACACUGUGAAGGUGUUUCUAUCUGGCUGUCAGUGUGAAGGUGUUUCUGUCUGGCUGUCAGUGUGAAAGAGUUUCUGUCUGGCUGUUGGUGUGAAGGUGUUUCUGGCUGUCAGUGUGAAGGUAUUUGUUUCUGUCUGGCUGUUGGUGUGAAGGUGUUUGUUUAUGUCUGGCUGUUGGUGUGGAGGUGUUUCUGUCUGUUGGUGUGAAGGUGUUUCUGUCUGGCUGUUGGUGUGAAGGUGUUUUUUAGAAGGGAUUAAUUUUUAGACCGGUGGACUGUGGAUGAAGGACAUGACCCUCAUACCGUGAGCCUCACCCAGUCUGCUGGAGGCUGUGAGAGAAGAAGCCUGCAGUCCCCAAGGAGGAAGGAGCUCAGCCUCGGUUUUCAGCCUCAGCUGCAGCACUGGCUCUUCCCAGGGUUCGUGCCCACAGCCCACUCUAGGGAUUUCGGACCUGCAGCCCCCAUAUCCGGUGAAAUGAUUCCUUACAAUGGAUCUCUCUCUUUAUCCACAAACACCCCUAUGGGGUCUGUUCACUGUCCCACAUCACACAGUGUAAGUGACUGAUCUGGGCUGAACCCAGUUAUGAGGCCCUGGUCCACACUCUUGCCCUCCAGGAAUCUGUCCCUGUGGCUGGAUUCUGCCCUCCAUGGGAGGGGCCCCCACAUCAUCUGUGCUGCUGAGAGAGACACAUCUCGGCUCCCAGGCCACGUCGGGACCCACCUAGACCUCAGGUUCCUCUCUGUCUUCACGAUUCUGCAGAACCAACCCUGAAACCUCAGCACGAGACAGUGUGACUGUAAUUACAUGAUCCAGUCAAUGUCUGCAGCCUUCAAAGCUCUGUCCCUGGAGACGCAUGUGACUCCUCUGAAGCAGAUCCACCUGUGGAUGCCACAGAGCCAGCCACAGCCCCCUCUUCCUGCCAGGAGACCCCGGACUCAGGGCCCCCAUGCUCCAUGCAUGCCCACCCCUGAAACCCUCUGCAGGAACCAUGGGGCAAAGAGAAGGGGAAAGCACGAAGUCCAACCACAGGCAGGCCAGCCCC